AAAAAUAUUAAAAAUUAGGUAGUAAAGGAGUUUCUGAAACCUAAAGGACUUGGCGGUAUUUUAAAUAAUUGGAGGAACUUGUUAUUUAAUUGAAGUUACACAACAUAUCUUUCCUUAUUUUUGUUUGUAUAUCAUUGUUUUAAGACAACAUUUUUUAAUAUAGUCUGAAUCAAGUUUGUUCAAAAAAUCAAAUCAAGGCGCAGCAUAAUAAGGUUAUAAUGAGUUACAAUGAAAUUUAUUCAAAACGGAAAUAAAAGGUAAAGUAUAUUGAAGGUGGAUUCAAAAAUAAUAAAAAAUUAAGAAGUUUUUAUGAAUAAUAAUUUAAAAUAUGC
rnacentral:rRNA from 1 species